CCUACGGGCGGCAGCAGUGGGGAAUAUUGGACAAUGGGGGAAACCCUGAUGCAGCGACGCCGCGUGAGUGAAGAAGUAUUUCGGUACGUAAAGCUCUAUCAGCAGGAAAGAAAAUGACGGUACCUGACUAAGAAGCACCGGCUAACUACGUGCCAGCAGCCGCGGUAAUACGUAGGGGGCAAGCGUUAUCCGGAUUUACUGGGUGUAAAGGGAGCGUAGACGGCAGCGCAAGUCUGGAGUGAAAUGCCGGGGCUCAACCCCGGAACUGCUCUGGAAACUGUGAAGCUGGAGUGCAGGAGAGGUAAGCGGAAUUCCUGGUGUAGCGGUGAAAUGCGUAGAGAUCAGGAGGAACACCAGCGGCGAAGGCGGCGUACUGGACUGUAACUGACGUUGAGGCGCGAAAGCGUGGGGAGCAAACAGGAUUAGAUACCCCAGUAGUC
rnacentral:rRNA from 1 species